UACAGAGACUGCAAGCGUUAUUCGGAUUCACUGGGCGUAAAGGGUGCGCAGGCGGCCAUGUGUGUGAGGCGUGAAAGCCCGAUGCUUAACAUCGGAAUUGCACCUCAAACUACAUGGCUAGAGCAUUGGAGAGGGUAGCGGAAUUCACGGUGUAGCAGUGAAAUGCGUAGAUAUCGUGAGGAACACCAGAGGCGAAGGCGGCUACCUGGACCAUUACUGACGCUGAGGCGCGAAAGCUAGGGGAGCAAACGGG
rnacentral:rRNA from 1 species